UAAGACGUGGGAAUUAACGUUACCGGGGAAACCGGAGCUAAUCGGAUAAUAUAUUGAACCGCAUGGUUCAAUAGUGAAAGACGGUUUUGCUGUCACUUAUAGAUGGAUCCGCGCCGCAUUAGCUAGUUGGUAAGGUAACGGCUUACCAAGGCAACGAUGCGUAGCCGACCUGAGAGGGUGAUCGGCCACACUGGAACUGAGACACGGUCCAGACUCCUACGGGAGGCAGCAGCC
rnacentral:rRNA from 1 species